GACGAACCGUGCGAACGUUGUUCGGAAUCACUGGGCUUAAAGGGCGCGUAGGCGGAUCAGCAAGUCUGGGUUGAAAUCCUCCGGCUUAACCGGAGAACAGGCUUGGAUACUGCUGAUCUCGAGGGAGGCAGGGGCAGUUGGAACUUCCGGUGGAGCGGUGAAAUGCGUUGAUAUCGGAAGGAACGCCGGUGGCGAAAGCGAACUGCUGGACCUCUACUGACGCUGAGGCGCGAAAGCCAGGGGAG
rnacentral:rRNA from 1 species